rnacentral:rRNA from 1 species
UACGAAGGGGGCUAGCGUUGCUCGGAAUUACUGGGCGUAAAGCGCACGUAGGCGGCUUUCUAAGUCGGGGGUGAAAUCCUGGAGCUCAACUCCAGAACUGCCUUCGAUACUGGAGAGCUCGAGUCCGGGAGAGGUGAGUGGAACUGCGAGUGUAGAGGUGAAAUUCGUAGAUAUUCGCAAGAACACCAGUGGGCGAAAGGCGGCUCACUGGCCCGGACUGACGCU